CGAAGGCUUCGGCCUUAGUGGCGCACGGGUGAGUAACGCGUGGGAAUCUGCCUAUCAGUGGGGAAUAACGACGGGAAACUGUCGCUAAUACCGCAUACGCCCUUCGGGGGAAAGAUUUAUCGCUGAUAGAUGAGCCCGCGUACGAUUAGCUAGUUGGUGAGGUAAUGGCUCACCAAGGCAACGAUCGUUAGCUGGUCUGAGAGGAUGAUCAGCCACACUGGGACUGAGACACGGCCCAGACUCCUACGGGAGGCAGCAGUGGGGAAUAUUGGACAAUGGGCGAAAGCCUGAUCCAGCAAUGCCGCGUGAGUGAUGAAGGCCUUAGGGUUGUAAAGCUCUUUCGGGUGGGACGAUGAUGACGGUACCACCAGAAGAAGCCCCGGCUAACUCUGUGUCCGUG
rnacentral:rRNA from 1 species